rnacentral:lncRNA from 1 species
AAAUAUUCAUGUGCUAUAGCCCACGCCUUCCGAGUGGGUCCGGGCCCCCAGACCCCGAUCGCCUAAAAAUUUUUCAAGCCAUCAAAUACGACCUAAGGAACCAUAGUCACGGCCACGCCAUGUUCGUUCCUCGUUGUUUUGCGUUUUACGGCCAAAAAAUUAGAAUUUCGCCCGAUUCCCAUAUUUUCGUGUGCUAUAGCCCACGCCUUCCGAGUGGGUCCGGGCCCCCGGACCCCGAUCGCCUAAAAUUAUUUCGGACCAUCAAAUAUGACCUAAGGAACCAUAGCCACCGCCCCGCCAUGACGGUUCCUCGUUGUUUUGCGUUUUACGGCCAUAAAACUAGAAUUUCGCCCGAUUCCCAUAUUUUCGUGUGCUAUAGCCCACGCCUUCCGAGUGGGUCCGGGCCCCCGGACCCCGAUCGCCUAAAAUUAUUCUGGACCAUCAAAUACGACCUAAGGAACCAUAGCCACCGCCCCGCCAUGACGGUUCCUCGUUGUUUUGCGUAUUACGGCCAUAAAACUAGAAUUUCGCCCGAUUCUCAUAUUUUCGUGUGCUAUAGCCCACGUCUUCCGAGUGGGUCCGGGCCCCCGGACCCCUAUCACCUAAAAUUAUUCCGGACCAUCAAAUACGACCUAAGGAACCAUAG